rnacentral:rRNA from 1 species
UACGUAGGUGGCAAGCGUUGUCCGGAUUUACUGGGCGUAAAGAGCGUGUAGGCGGCCCGAUAAGUCCGCCGUGAAAGUCCAGGGCUCAACCCUGGAAUGCCGGUGGAAACUGUCGGGCUGGAGUCCGGAAGAGGCGAGUGGAAUUCCUGGUGUAGCGGUGAAAUGCGCAGAUAUCAGGAGGAACACCAAUGGCGAAGGCAGCUCGCUGGGACGGUACUGACGCUGAGACGCGAAAGCGUGGGGAGCAAACAGG